GAUCUCUCCUCGGUUCUAAGCAAACACAAACAAACAAACAAAAAAGCAGUGAAAUCAUGAAACAGCAUCCUCGGUUCUCAACAAACCAACAAAAAUAAACCGAAACAAACAUCACAUGAAAAAUGAAAUCCUCAAUAAUAGAGGGAAGAAAGUGAAGAAAUAAUAGCGAGAACUAUAGAUCUAAUGUUUUGAAGCUAUCUCUGAGGGGAAUGAAGCCUGGUCCGAGAUCCCACGGAUGAGAGGAAUGAAAAACCUUGCACAAAUCAUCCUCAAAACCGCAAGGUGUAUGAGACCUUGAACCAGACAACAUUCCACUCAGAAGCAAAUAGCUUCAUACUAUCAAUUUUCCUUUCCCCUCCUCUCUCUCUCUCUCUCUCUCUAUCUAUCUAGUUCUCAUCCUCUGAUAUUCUUCCCUUGCAAGAAGCUAUGGGCAAAGAGCACGGGUAUGUAUAGACACAAGGAGCAAGGGCCAGUGACAUGGUCCAUGG
rnacentral:precursor_RNA from 1 species